CGUACGACGAGUUUGAUCCUGGCUCAGGAUGAACGCUAGCGGCAGGCCUAACACAUGCAAGUCGAGGGGUAGAGAGUGCUUGCACUCUUGAGACCGGCGCACGGGUGCGUAACGCGUAUGCAAUCUACCUUAUACAGGGGAAUAGCCCAGGGAAACUUGGAUUAAUGCCCCAUAGUCUAUAGAAGCGGCAUUGUUUUUAUAGUAAAGAUUUAUCGGUAUAAGAUGAGCAUGCGUACCAUUAGCUAGUUGGUGUGGUAACGGCACACCAAGGCAACGAUGGUUAGGGGCCCUGAGAGGGGGAUCCCCCACACUGGUACUGAGACACGGACCAGACUCCUACGGGAGGCAGCAGUGAGGAAUAUUGGACAAUGGGCGAGAGCCUGAUCCAGCCAUGCCGCGUGCAGGAAGACGGCCCUAUGGGUUGUAAACUGCUUUUGUACGGGAAGAAACACCCCCUCGUGAGGGGGCUUGACGGUACCGUAAGAAUAAGGAUCGGCUAACUCCGUG
rnacentral:rRNA from 1 species